GAUAAGAAGAAGUUAUCUUUCGAUUUGAGUAUUCAAUCUCCUUGAGCAAGCAGAGUUGACUCUUUUUAUUUCCUGAUUUCGUUAGUAGGAUAGCAAAUAAGAAAAAGAAAGACGAGUCCGGAUAUUUACUUGACUAUGUAUCAACUAGGUCGAGGGCAAAUUGCAUCCCUAUAAGUAUUUUCUGUUUUUUGGUCAAUUUUAUAAUUUUUGGGGUUUUUAAAUAAUAAUUAAAUUGAAAAUAGUUUAAAAUCAAAUAAAUAAAAUUUACCCAUGUA